rnacentral:rRNA from 1 species
GUUGAUCCUGGCUCAGANCGAACGCUGGCGGCAGGCUUAACACAUGCAAGUCGAACGCCCCGCAAGGGGAGUGGCAGACGGGUGAGUAACGCGUGGGAACAUACCCUUUCCUGCGGAAUAGCUCCGGGAAACUGGAAUUAAUACCGCAUACGCCCUACGGGGGAAAGAUUUAUCGGGGAAGGAUUGGCCCGCGUUGGAUUAGCUAGUUGGUGGGGUAAAGGCCUACCAAGGCGACGAUCCAUAGCUGGUCUGAGAGGAUGAUCAGCCACAUUGGGACCGAGACACGGCCCAAACUCCUACGGGAGGCAGCAGUGGGGAAUAUUGGACAAUGGGCGCAAGCCUGAUCCAGCCAUGCCGCGUGAGUGAUGAAGGCCUUAGGGUUGUAAAGCUCUUUCACCGAUGAAGAUAAUGACGGUAGUCG